CCCAUUUACACUACCUCUGAUUUUUCCCCCUAAAACGAAAACCCUAAAUACAUUCAGACCACCCAAACACCACUUGCGAUCUGCACCAUUUGCAGCACUCAUUCUCGAUUUGUGAAUUCUUCUCCUUCCUUUACCAGGUUUAUGGUUACUUUCGGACCUUCCAAACCUUUCACCUUUAUUUUUGGUUCGUGGCUCCCUUCCACACCUUUCUUUCUUCCAACUCUUCCUCUGCAAUCCCUUCCAAACCUUUCAGAUCUCAUUUUUCUUAUUAUCUUCUUUGUCCGCAAGUCGAAAGGCUUGCUCAUAUUUUUUUUUUCAGUUAAAAGGGUUUUUUCAUUUGACGAACACAAAGCAACAAAAUAGUUCUUGGAUGAAAAGGCUGAAAAGUGGGAAGUUGGAUUUGGGUGUUAGGAGGGACAUACUUGAUUGGAUUUGGAAGGAGCAUACUAUUUGUUAUUGGAUGUUAGGAGGGACAUACUUGAUUGGAUUUGGAAGAGUUUUUUCAUUUGACGAACACAAAGCAACAAAAUAGUUCUUGGAUGAAAAGGUAACAUUUUUGUUUAUAUUUUGUUUAUUAAAUUUAUUUUAUAUAUCAAUUUGUUGUUUUUCAAUUUUUUUGAGAUUACUUGCAUUUUCUGAGGAUUGAUUACUUGCAAAGGCUGAAAAGUGGGAAGUUGGAUUUGGGUGUUAGGCGGGACAUACUUGAUUGGAUUUGGAAGGAGCAUACUAUUUGUUAUUGGAUGUUAGGAGGGACAUACUUGAUUGGAUUUGGAAGUCAACAAGCAGGUUAUCUUACAACUUUAGUUCCAUAUUGCAUUCAUUAAGCAGGUUGCAGUAGAGGAGAUCAAGAAGUUUGAGGUUUUCACAAAGAUUGUUGAAAAUUUAAGAGGACAGAAAAUCAUAAAGCUUCCCCAUACUUAAAGAUAUUAUUCUUUCUACUCAAAGAGUAAUUGUUGUUUUAGGACAAUUCAUUUGUUCUGUUUCUGUUUCUGGUGGAAUUUUAUGAUGUUCAGUUAUAAUUUAUUCAUGAA